CUUAACUCUGGAACUGCCAUCAAAACUUUUUAGCUAGAGUAUGAUAGAGGAAAGCAGAAUUUCUAGUGUAGAGGUGAAAUUCGUAGAUAUUAGAAAGAAUACCAAUUGCGAAGGCAGCUUUCUGGAUCAUUACUGACACUGAGGAACGAAAGCAUGGGUAGCGAAGAGGAUUAGAUACCCUCGUAGUCCAUGCCGUAAACGAUGUGUGUUAGACGUUGGAAAUUUAUUUUCAGUGUCGCAGCGAAAGCAUUAAACACACCGCCUGGGGAGUACGACCGCAAGGUUAAAACUCAAAUGAAUUGACGGGGACUCGCACAAGUAGUGGAGCAUGUGGUUUAAUUCGAAGAUACGCGCAGAACCUUACCAACACUUGACAUGUUCGUCGCGACUUUAAGAGAUUAAAGUUUUCGGUUCGGCCGGACGAAACACAGGUGCUGCAUGGCUGUCGUCAGCUCGUGUCGUGAGAUGUUGGGUUAAGUCCCGCAACGAGCGCAACCCUCACUUUUAGUUGCCAUCAUUAAGUUGGGCACUCUGAAAGAACUGCCAGUGAUAAGCUGGAGGAAGGUGGGGAUGACGUCAAGUCCUCAUGGCCCUUACGUGUUGGGCUACACACGUGCUACAAUGGCAUUUACAAUAGGAAGCAAGAUGGCGACGUCAAGCAAAUCCUAAAAAGAUGCCUCAGUUCGGAUUGUACUCUGCAACUCGAGUACAUGAAGCUGGAAUUACUAGUAAUCGCGGAUCAGCGCGCCGCGGCGAAUACGUUCCCGGGUCUUGUACACACCGCCCGUCACACCAUGGGAGUUGGUUCUACCUUAAGGCAAGGUUUUAAACCCUUGACCACGGUAUAGUCAGCGACUGGGGUGAAGUCGUAACAAGGUAGCCG
rnacentral:rRNA from 1 species